ACUCGCCUACAUGAAGCUGGAAUUGCUAGUAAUCAUAGGUCAGCAUACUAUGGUGAAUACGUUCCCGGGCCUUGUACACACCGCCCGUCACACCAUGGGAGUCGGAUAUGCCCGAAGCCGGUGACCUAACCGCAAGGAAGGAGCCGUCGAAGGUGGAGCCGAUGACUGGGGUGAAGUCGUAACAAGGUAUC
rnacentral:rRNA from 1 species